rnacentral:lncRNA from 1 species
GGGUACAGUUGUGAGGAUAACAGAAAUAUGGCAGAUUAUUUAAAAUCAUCCUGAAAGUGGUGCUUUAUCUGAUGAAAGUGAUUGUAAUCCAUAGGAAAAUGUUUCAACGUGCGCAAGAGUUGCGGCGGCGGGCAGAGGACUACCACAAAUGCAAAAUCCCUCCUUCUGCAAGAAAGCCUCUUUGCAACUGGGUCAGAAUGGCGGCAGCGGAGCAUCGUCAUUCUUCAGGAUUGCCCCACUGGCCCUACCUCACAGCUGAAACUUUAAGAAACAGGAUGGGCCACCAGCCACCUCCUCCAACUCAACAACGUUCUAUAACUGAAAACUCCCUGAGCCUCAAGACACCUCCCGAGUGUCCGCUCCAUCCCCUUCCACCCUCAGCGGAUGGUAAUCUCAAGACGCCUCCCGAGUGUCUCAUCACUCUUCUUCCACCCUCAGCUCCACCCUCAGCUCCACCCUCAGCGGAUGAUAAUAUCAACAGGCCUGCCGAGUGUCUGCUCUAUCCCCCUCCACCCUCAGCGGAUGAUAAUAUCAACAGGCCUGCCGAGUGUCUGCUCUAUCCCCCUCCACCCUCAGCGGAUGAUAAUCUCAAGACACCUCCCGAAUGCCUGAUUACUCCCCUUCCACCCUCACCUCCACCCUCAGCUCCACCCUCAGCUCCACCCUCACCUCCACCCUCACCUCCACCCUCAGCUCCACCCUCACCUCCACCCUCAGCUCCACCCUCACCUCCACCCUCAGCUCCACCCUCAGCGGAUGAUAAUAUCAACAGGCCUGCCGAGUGUCUGCUCUAUCCCCCUCCACCCUCAGCGGAUGAUAAUCUCAAGACACCUCCCGAGUGCCUGAUUACUCCCCUUCCACCCUCACCUCCACCCUCAGCUCCACCCUCACCUCCACCCUCACCUCCACCCUCAGCUCCACCCUCACCUCCACCCUCACCUCCACCCUCAGCUCCACCCUCACCUCCACCCUCACCUCCACCCUCACCUCCACCCUCAGCUCCACCCUCACCUCCACCCUCACCCCCACCCUCAGCGGAUGAUAAUCUCAAGACACCUCCCUUAGCUACUCAGGAGGCUGAGGCAGAAAAACCACCCAAACCCAGGAGGCCGAGGGCCGAUGACGUGGACCCAUCAUCGCCCGAACCCAAGAGGCGGAGGGCCGAUGACGUGGACCCAUCAUCAUCCACACCCAAGAGGCGGAGGGCCGAUGACGUGGACCCAUCAUCAUCCACACCCAAGAGGCGGAGGGCCGAUGACGUGGACCCAUCAUCAUCCACACCCAAGAGGCGGAGGGCCGAUGACGUGGACCCAUCAUCACGCAAACCCAAGAGGCGGAGGGCCGAUGACGUGGACCCAUCAUCAUCCAAACCCAAGAGGCGGAGGGCCGAUGACGUGGAACCGUCAUCACGCAAACCCAAGAGGCGGAGGUUGAGUUAGCUGAGAACAGGCCAUUGCACUCAAGCCUGAGCAAUAAGAAUAAAAUUGAGUAUAACAAAAUAAAAAAAUCAAAAAACAAAACAAAACCCACACUCCAAAAACAAACUAACAAAGAAUAAAU